rnacentral:rRNA from 1 species
CAGUCGCCGCGGUAAAACAGAGGAUGCAAGCGUUAUCCGGAAUGAUUGGGCGUAAAGCGUCUGUAGGUGGCUUUUCAAGUCCGCCGUCAAAUCCCAGGGCUCAACCUGGGAACUGCAUCCAAAACUGGCAAGCUAGAGUAUGGUAGAGGGUGGUGGAAUUUCCUGUGUAGCGGUGAAAUGCGUAGAUAUAGGAAGGAACACCAGUGGCGAAGGCGACCACCUGGACUGAUACUGACACUGAGGUGCGAAAGCGUGGGGAGCAAACAGGAUUAGAUACCCCUGUAGUCCCUGUCUCUUAUAC